rnacentral:rRNA from 1 species
UUGGAGGGCAAGUCUGGUGCCAGCAGCCGCGGUAAUUCCAGCUCCAAUAGCGUAUAUUAAAGUUGUUGCAGUUAAAAAGCUCGUAGUUGAAUUUUGGAUUCUUCCAAUUGGUCCAUCUUUUAGAUGAGUACUGGUUGUGUGGGGUCUAUCCGCCUGGUGAUACGUAAUGUCCUUUAUUGGAUGUUGCGGGUAGUCAGGACCUUUACCUUGAAAAAAUUAGAGUGUUUAAAGCAGGCUUAUGCCGGAAUACAUUAGCAUGGAAUAAUAGAAUAGGACGAAGUUGUUUUAUUUUGUUGGUUUCUAGGACAACCGUAAUGAUUAAUAGGGAUAGUUGGGGGCAUUAGUAUUCAAUUGUCAGAGGUGAAAUUCUCGGAUUUAUUGAAGACUAACUACUGCGAAAGCAUUUGCCAAGGAUGUUUUCAUUAAUCAAGAACGAAAGUUAGGGGAUCGAAGACGAUCAGAUACCGUCGUAGUCUUAACCAUAAACUAUGCCGACUAGGGAUCGGGCGAUGUUGUUUCCAUGACUCGCUCGGCACCUUACGGGAAACCAAAG